rnacentral:rRNA from 1 species
AUACAUAGUCAAACGAAGCGAACCGGGGGAACUGAAACAUCUCAGUACCCCGAGGAAAAGAAAUCAACCGAGAUUCCCCUAGUAGCGGCGAGCGAACGGGGAGCAGCCCAGAGUCUUAAUCAGCAUUAGUAUCAGGAGAACGGUCUGGAAAGUCCGGCAGUAAAGGGUGAUAGCCCCGUAUCUGAAGAUGCUAGUGUUGUGAACUCGACGAGUAGGGCGGGACACGUGUUAUCCUGUCUGAAUAUGGGGGGACCAUCCUCCAAGGCUAAAUACUCCUGAUUGACCGAUAGUGAACCAGUACCGUGAGGGAAAGGCGAAAAGAACCCCGGCGAGGGGAGUGAAAUAGAACCUGAAACCGUGUACGUACAAGCAGUGGGAGCCUUGAUUUAUCAGGGUGACUGCGUACCUUUUGUAUAAUGGGUCAGCGACUUAU